GACUGCUUGAAAUCUGGAGUCAAUCACGACCCCCGAUUCCCCCUCCUCCCCACCACCUGUUUAAACCUGAGUCGCUAAAUCGAAGGUAGAUUUUGACGAAACAACAGUGCCGUGAGUCCCCUCUCUGCCCACCCACCGAGUAAUGACCAUUCCGCACUGAAACUUCCUUCUGCGAAACCCUGGCAGCGGGAGAUGGAAAAACGACCCAGUGACGGUAAAUUUUGCCGAAACAACAAUGCUGUGAACCCGGACAAAGGACGACAGUGCGGGACUGAAACUUUUCUUCGGGAAGCCCUGUCAGCGGGAGAUGGCCAGUGACGGCCAGUCUGAAUCCAUCACCAGCACUUA